UCACUUUCAACAACGGAUCUCUUGGCUCUCGCAUCGAUGAAGAACGCAGCGAAAUGCGAUGAGUAGUGUGAAUUGCAGAAGUACCGUGAAUCAUCGAAUCUUUGAACGCGAAUUGCACUCUCUGGUAUUCCGGGGAGUAUGCCUGUUUGAGGGUCGCU
rnacentral:rRNA from 1 species